UGAUACUGAAACACCGGUUCUCGUACGAUCACCGAAGUUAAGCAGCGUAGAGCCAGGUCAGUACUUAGAUGGGGGACCGCUUGGGAACACCUGGUACUGUAAG
rnacentral:rRNA from 1 species